rnacentral:rRNA from 1 species
UACGUAGGGAGCAAGCGUUGUUCGGAUUUACUGGGCGUAAAGGGCGCGUAGGCGGCAGAUUAAGUCAGCUGUGAAAUCUCCGAGCUUAACUCGGAACUGUCAGCUGAUACUGUUUUGCUAGAGUGCGGAAGGGGCAAUCGGAAUUCUUGGUGUAGCGGUGAAAUGCGUAGAUAUCAAGAGGAACACCUGAGGUGAAGACGGGUUGCUGGGCCGACACUGACGCUGAGUGCGCGAAAGCCAGGGUAGCAAACAGG